UGGCGGACGGGUGAGUAACGCGUGGAAAACCUGCCGUAUACUGGGGGAUAACACUUAGAAAUAGGUGCUAAUACCGCAUAAGCGCACAGCUUCGCAUGAAGCGGUGUGAAAAACUCUGGUGGUAUACGAUGGUUCCGCGUCUGAUUAGCUAGUUGGUGGGGUAAUGGCCUACCAAGGCAACGAUCGGUAGCCGGCCUGAGAGGGUGAACGGCCACAUUGGGACUGAGACACGGCCCAAACUCCUACGGAAGGCAGCAG
rnacentral:rRNA from 1 species